GGCCCUUGCUCGAUCUCUAUAGAAGUUGUGUUCUUCUGUUUCUUUUCACUCACCACAAUCAAGCCAUACGGGGAGCGCAACCGUUGAAAAAGGCGAGCAGGCGAGGUUGAUCUUGAUGGCGUCCAACUCCUCGCCGGCAAGGCCGUCCCAUGGGGAGCGCCGCCUGUCUCUCCCCAGGCACGCGGCCUGUCCUCUCCAGCGUUGGUUCUCCAUCCCUCUGCCUCCCGGUAUGUGGGACACGCUGUGUCCCUCGCCUCGCACCCUUCUUCUUAAUCAGUCAUGUGCAAGGGAGGGCCGGCGGUACGGUUUGGCUUUGGAAGUCGGCCAUCAAAUCCUGCUAUACAACGCUGGUGAGAUGCAACACCAAAUAUUUGAGUAGCGGCCAUGGUGGCUCCAGGGCCCCGACCUGCUCUUCGAUCCUUUUCUCUUCUUUUUCUUCUGAGAUGGAAUGGUGCUCUGUACGCCGCAUCCCCGAGCAUGCCCUACCAUGGUCGGAUCCUAGCGGUCUGCGGCCUUCCUUGACGAGCGGCGUCACGGUCCAUGGCGUUGGUGGAGGCGACGAUCGAGACGGCGGGCAGAGACAACACGGAACCCUGGAUGUUGUGCACCUGGCAAUGAGGAUCACGACCGACGAGCGGAUGGACGACAAUACCGCGGAGCUAUUGCUCUGCGACCAGCUGCUAUUAGCGCCACCCGGUAGUUAAUGCCGGCCACCCGCCACGCGCCUCGCGCUGCGUAGUUUUGGUAACCUCGAGCGCCUGUAGCUCUUCACCCAUGGCAUGAAGUUGGAGCGGGCAAAGCUCCAGCGGUUCGCCUUCUCCCUGUCUGCACAGGAGAAGCAGGUUUCUCUGGCCACUUAUCUCUCUCAUUUUCUAGCUAGAAAUUGCUCUUUUUUUUAUGUGCUUCACUUAUUUCUACUAGAUGCAUGUUACUGCUCAAAUUCUUUGUAUUUCGCUUGGGAUCUCGAUGGACCUCAUAAUCUUCUCUGAAUUUAAUCGUGCUGCAGGACCUACGGGAGAUGAUCUCUAGACACUGCAGGAAUUCAUAUGGACCGCCACCAAUUUUAUUUGAAGAUAACCGUGAAAUGCAUACAGAAGAAACUAAAAAGAUAGAAGUAUACAGAGAUCAUUGAUUCUCAUAGUCACUUACCCACCAAGAAAUCUACAUGAUAGUUUCUUUUGUAAAAUGUAUAUAAUUUUGUUUUUAUUUCUCACAGUUUGUUUAUUUCCGUUGCCUUAUCUUCAGUUAAGCACGUAUUUUUUUAGAAGUUAACCGGAUCUUAGUAUCCUCUUUAUGUACAGGCCAAGUAAAUUUUAUAGGUUCAAUUAUUAAUUGUUGCACAUAGUUGGAUUUGUUUCUAAGUUCUGCUUUAUUCUAUAACAGUAGGGAUGUAGUUCUCCAGAGUUCAGUGCUAUGAUUAAGUAAUUCAUGUAAUGAGUAAAUAGGUGACACUCAGAUUGUCAGAAUGUGCUUAGUGUAGUACAUAAAUAAUCCUACAGAUGAGUUACUUGUAUAGCACUUUCUGUGGAUUGCAGGUUUGUAAUGCUUAUUGUGUUUCUAGGUCUGUACAGCACGUAGGAUCUUGCAAAGAGAGAUAAUUUUGAAGUUAUUUCGUAUUUGCUAUGUGUAGUGUACAUGCAGUUUUUGUUUUGUUUCAUGUGGUCCAUCAAGAAUCUACAAAAUAAUUUCAGAGUUGUUAAAACAAGACUCACCACAUGAGUGAGACUAGGAUGUUCAAGGCUUCAGGCACUGGACAGAGAGAGCUCAGUCACAAUUUAUAUGACAAAAGGAGCAUGUUUAUUUGUGUGAGGGAGUAAAGGGUCCAUAUUUACAGAGCAUCGUGAUGCUUUUAAAAUUACAAGUACAGUAGUUCAGCAUAGGACUUUCCCUGCUGCUCUAAUCCGCUUGACCUGUUCAAGGGAUGUUUUGUUGUUCCUGUGUGGUCGAUGAAAAUUGGUCAGAAACUGAGGUCUUCCAAUCCACCACACAAUAUGACCUGCUAAUCGACAUCAACUACUAUGCCUUACAGUUUCAUCUAUUUUGAUGUUUGAAGCAUCUAUUUUGAAGAGAUUAAACGUAUCUUUGGAAUCUUGAUUCCUGGGUAUGUAUUCAGAUCUAUAUAUUUUUUAAUCUUUUUGUAAUGGCUUGAUUCUUGCCACCAUUUGUUUGCCAUUAUCUGCAUCCGCAUGCAGAUUAAAAAUGGAAGAGAAAUCAAUGAACUGUAUUAUUUCUCAGUACAUAGAUCGGACAAAUUUGAUCGUAUAUAUGGCAUAUUCAGAUCUUUAAG
rnacentral:lncRNA from 1 species